rnacentral:snRNA from 1 species
GGAUGUGAGGGCGAUCUGGCUGAGACAUCUGUCACCCCAUUGAUUGCCAGGGUUGAUUUGCUGAUCUGGCUGGUUAGGUGGGUGUCCCCUUCCUCCGUCACUGCUCCAUGUGCUAGAACCUCCAAACACGCUCUCAAGAAUGUCACUGUUUUGUCUUAUU